UAUUCUUAAACCGCGGAUGGCUCAUUAUAACAGCUAUUAUUUGAGAGAACUAAACUUUAUUGCCACAAGAUAACUGUGGUAAUUCUAGAGCUAAUAUUUUUAAGAAUGCUGUGACUUCGGAAGCAGCGGAUUUAUUAGAUUAAAACUAACCUGCAGCAANUGCGGUUCAUAAAUGACUCUGGAUAACUUUACUGAUCGAACAACCUUUGUGUUGACGAUGAAUCUCUUGAAAUGGCUGACCUAUCAACUUUCGAUGGUAAGAUCAAAGCUUACCAUGGUUGUAACGGGUAACGGGGAAUCAGUGUUCGAUUCCGGANAGGGAGCCUGANAAACGGCUACCACAUCCACGGAAGGCAGCAGGCGCGUAAAUUACCCAAUACCGGCUCGGUGAGGUAGUGACAAUAAAUAACAAUAUGGGCCCUAGUGGUUUCAUAAUUGCAAUGAGAAUAUUUUAAAUACUUUAUCAAGUAUCAAUUGGAGGGCAAGUCUGGUGCCAGCAGCCGCGGUAAUUCCAGCUCCAAAAGCGUAUAUUAAAGUUGUUGCAGUUAAAAAGCUCGUAGUUGAAAUUGNGGAUUAUAAAUGAAUUGAWUCCUUGAUAGAANUUCAUUUGGUCCUUUCUGUCGUGUAUAUUUUUCAGUUACUUUACUGUAUUUGAUUAAUAACCGACUUGUUUACUUUGAAUAAAUUAGAGUGCUUNAAGCAAGCUUAUGCUUGUAUAGUGUUGCAUGGAAUAAUNAAAUAGGACUUCGGUUUNAUUUNGUUGGUUUNCGAANCUGAAGUAAUGAUUNAAAGAGACUGCCNGGGGCAUAUGUAUGCUGGUGUNAGAGGNGAANUUCUUAGAUCAUCAGCAGACAAACUACUGCGAAAGCANUUGCCAAGAAUGUUUNCAUUANUCAAGAACGNAAGUCAGAGGAUCGAAGAWSAUCAGAUACCGUCCUANUUCUGACCAUAANCUAUGCCAACUGACAGUUASNUAAGGUAUAUUAAUUCCUUGCUAGAAGUCACCGGNNAACCUAAGUCUNUNGGUUCCNGGGGAAGUAUGGUUGCAAAGCUGAAACUUAAAGGAAUUGACGGAAGGGCACCACAAGGAGUGGANCCUGCGGCUUAAUUUGACUCAACACSGGAAMUCUCACCCGGUCCGGACACUGUGAGGAUUGACAGAUUGAUAGNUCUUUCUUGAUUCGGUGGGUGGUGGUGCAUGNCCGUUCUUAGUUGGUGGAGCGAUUUGUCUGGUUAAUUCCGAUAACGAACGAGACUCGACCCUGNNAAAUAGUGUAUCUGUGUUAAAUUGCAGAUGAUCCACUUCUUAGAGGAAUUAAUAGCGUUUAGCUAAAUGAAAAUGAGCAAUAACAGGUCUGUGAUGCCCUUAGAUGUCCGGGGCCGCACGCGGGUUACAAUUUUAUCAGCAACAAGUUUUCCAAGCCAGAGAUGGCAAGGUAAUCUCUUGAAACGAUAAAGUAUCAGGAAUAGUGGUUUGAAAUUUUUCCACUUGAACGAGGAAUUCCUAGUAAGCGCAAGUCACUAACUUGCGCUGAUUACGUCCCUGCCCUUUGUACACACCGCCCGUCGCUACUACCGAUUGAAUGGUUUAGUGAGAUUGUUGGAUUCUAAUUUAAGAAAUGGCAACAUUUCU
rnacentral:rRNA from 1 species